CAGACUUGUGCAAACCCAAGAACAGCAUAGAGGUUGCUAUAGAGGACAGCCUUACUGUGGCCCUUCAUUACCUUAACCAAAGAUGAUUCAUCAGCGGAGGAGCUUAUGAAAAGCAGAAUUAGGACUCAAACGAACAAGAAACUCCACAGAGAGUAAUGCGAGAUUAUCAUUUAUGGGUCUAAGAAGACAGAGGGUAUAGGACGCUGGCAGUCAAGGCUGAAUUCCAUCCCCAGAUCCCAACUCAUGGAAGCUUCGCACAGAAGCCGGUUGUCAUCCUCUGAGCUGCUCUAAUGAGAUGCAAGGACCGAAGGAUGGCUGAGGGCCAGGGAGGAGCUCAAUCCUGUCCUUGGGAGUCGGUCUGGUCACGUUCUCUUCUUUCAAGCUGAAGAUGGCACCCGCUCGGCUAAGCCGGUGAAUGUGGACUUACAAGGACUCAGCCAAGUCGUGUCUAGAUUACAGGCCAAAGAUGACGAGGGAAAGAGAGCACCAGGCAAAACAAAUUUUAAUUACAAUAAUGAUGAAUGGUCCAAUAGAGCUGCAAGAUAAUGGAAGGAAGAUGGGGUACCUGAAGCCAGCUCGUUAAAAUCAGAAAAGGUGUCCUCGAGGAAACGUGGGUCCCAGACUUAAGUCUGGAUAGCCGCUGUGUCCCCACAAGAGGAGGAACAGUCAUGGAGAAACACAACUGAACUUUACUGUGGCAAAAAGAAAGGGAAAAUAACAAUUAUGAGGUCUGGACAUCGAGCCUGAGGCUGGUGUUAAAAAAAAAAGAAUGCUUAUGUCUGCAUAACUUAACUUGUAUCUCUUCAGUAAAUCAAACCUGCUAUUCCACUUGACUGCAUCCAAGUCACUUAGAUGUCUGCCAACAAGAACAUUAAUGAACUCAGUAUCUCACGCAGGUUUGUUCAUGUAGAGCCCACAAUUGCUUAGCCUCCCUUCCAGCUGCUGCCUGGGCUCCAUCUGAAGGAGGUGGACAGCUGGACCAGGUCAUCACUUAACCCCAGGAUGUGGUAUGUCCUGGUCUUCAAGUCCUCUGUCUGGUUUUAGGAUGGCAUGGCUUUGAAAAGUAGUAGUUCUUGUCCUGAAAAACUUCAUGAAGCUUUGCUGCGUUCUGCCUUUGACGUAAGUGCCUGUCACAUGCUACAUAACUGACUAUGUUGUACUCUUGCUCUCUGGGGUCUCAGUUUACCUCCAUGGAUUUAUAAUUAAUGGGAUUAUUCCAGAACACAUUGUUACUCCUUAGAUUUCUCCAGAUGAUACGAGACGAUUAAGAGAAAUGCUGAAGUUGAUAUGAACCUAAUUUGUCAAAAAUGUAACAGAAUUAUAGAGAGAUCAGUCACUCCCAAACCUUUCUGCAGGUGGAGUCUAACGAAGGGAGGUCUAUAAAGUUCUAAGUCCCAGGCUGCGUGCCAGACCAAUAAAACCACACUUCUGAGGAUGGGCUUCAGGCAACAGUAGUAUGUUCACUCCACAGGUCAUCCCCAUGUGGAGACAUGUUUGGAAACCACAGAUCUGGACAAGGCCGUUGGCAACACGUCUGUGGCUCGUUCUCCCCUGCCCUGCCCUGCGGUUGGUGGCAUGUUUUUGGCUUUUUAGCAUCUUCCUUAUCUCCAUCCACAGAGAACUCCGAAGUUGGAAGCCUAAGCAGGAACACUGGACCAGACAUGACUGAAAGAGGGCACUUGGGCCAAUCCACAGGAAAUGUCAUCUCCUGUCUGCCAGUUUUAAAUUUCAUUCCAAGGAAGGGCUGCCAUUAUAGAGUUCUGCCUCUGAGUCAUCGUGAAAACAAGUGGAGUCCUUUGUCUGGUUUCUUCCCUUCCUUGUGUGUGUGACCGAGUUAUUCAUUUUCUUUACUAUGUAGUAUUCUGUUAUGUAAACACAUGGCCACCUGCUUUAGCCAUCCCGUUGGGUGCAACAUUUAGGUUAGUCAUGAGUCCCUAUUCCAUAUAAUGUCGCUGUGGAUAUUCUGAAUGCACCUCCCACCCCCCCCUUCCCAGUGUUUUGAGAUAAGGUCUUGCUAUGUGGUCCAUUCUGACCUUGAACUUCCUGAUCAGCCACUCGAGUGCUGGGAUUACAUUCUCAAACCACAGUGCCUGGCUACCUUCCACCUUUCCCUUCCACCAGCUCUGGGCACUAGUGGGCUCACAUCUCUGUUAAAAAUAAUUCUUUGUAUCGAUGAUAAAUGUACAAC
rnacentral:lncRNA from 1 species